CAAAAGAUAUUUGUAAAAUACCACAAACCAGGUUAUUUUCUACUUAAUGACAUCAUCUUUCAAGUACUGAGCCCCCCAAAAUACUUUCUGCUUAUUCUAAGAUUCGUAUUUGCUUUCAUUUUUUAACAUUUCUUUGAAACACUUACUACAUUCAAUGUUACAGUAUUUCUUUUUUUUUUUAAACUCCUAUUUACUUAGAAAUUAUUCUGAGGCUAAAAGAAAUCAAGUGCGAUUUCUUUUAAGGGAUAAUUUAUUAAUAAUUGGUUAUCCCACUAGUUUUAAAGGUCUUCACAUGGCUGUCUUCAGGAAAGAGGCAGGGCAGUAGAAGUAGAGGUGCAGGUACUAAAUUUGUGAAGGCAUGUGAAGGCAAAUUGUUAUUUAGCAUAGUGGUAUUCAUUAUCCAUGGUCAAGGUGUCUGAAAUUGCUCAUUAAUCAAUCAUUAACAACCACAGAAAAUAGGGGAAUUUCAUGGAAGCGUAAAGGUUCACUGGCAGAGAAAUUUCUUUAUGACUUGCCAAGUAAAAGGAAUGUGAAGAAUAAGGCCAAGGCCCAUCCAACAAAGCAAGAGUUAACAGGUCCUAGCAGAACUGCUAGUUUAAAUUUCCAUUCGGUGAUUUUUUUUUUUUUUUUUUUUGAGACAGGGUCUCACUCUGUCGCCCAGGCUGGAGUGCAGUGGCACGAUCUUGGCUCACUGCAGCCUCAACCUCCUCAGCUAGCUGAAGCAAUACUUUCACCUCAGCCUCUUGCAUAGCUGGUACUACAGGCAUGCACCACCACACCCAGCUAUUUUUUGUAUUAUUUUCUUUUCUUUUCUUUUUUUUUUUUUU
rnacentral:lncRNA from 10 species